GAUUCUAGAAUAAUGACCAUAACGACGUCGCCUGCGUGCGCACACGUAGGGCCCUUUUCAGCACGCACACCUCCCGUGGGGCGUCUCCCCUAGCUCUCACGACAGGGAUUUCUGGGCUUUUCACCCAUGAAGAGCCCAGCGCUUCAGAUAGUCCAAGCAGUCAGCUCAACAUCACACGGCUAAUCCAGAGGUUGAGCUUGGGCCUCCUGCUACGUCCAGGGCUCCUGUGCUGGAGGCCUUUCAUCGCACUCAAGGUACCGAGGGCAGUGGGGAGGUGGAUGUGUGUCUAGGGUGAGAGCAGGCCGCGCGUUCUCUGGCCCCGGUGGCGUGCCAUGCCCCGGUGGCCCCGGCCACGGGCACAGCCAGCUCCCUGCCCAGGUCAUUUCGUGUGAUCCGCGGCGGCGGUGUGAUUUGUUGACGGCUUUUCUUCCCCGCUGGGACAGCAUGGAAAUAAUCAGAUGAAUAAUGAGCCUGUGAAGACGGAUGCCGUCUGAGCCAGCUCCCACAGAAGGGAAUCCUACGCCGGGAUUUCCGCCUCGAGCAGCACAGGACGAUGGAUGUUUCCGCAGAAGGCUGGCCCUCGUUUGCUCCGUUGGCAGCCGAUUGUUCCUCUCCACGGACGGCAGAGAGGCUUCGGAUUUAAUAGUGCUGGCAGCUCUGUGUUCCAGGAGCGGGGAGGAGAUGAGCGCUGGUGGGCUCGUUCUGGGGACAGAAGGCCGCCUCUGACCCUGAGCCGGCUGUCAGGCGGGCCAGCCACCUUCCGCGGAAGGUUUUCCCACGCAGAGGUGGCCACCCUACCUGGUGACGAGCCACGGUGCGCCCGUGCUACUUUCCUCACCUAUUGCUGGAUCACAAACCAUCCCCAAACUCGAGGCUUCACACCAAGUUGUUCUGCACCUUACCAUUCCACGGGCCAGGUUUCUGUUCCACGUCGCGUUGGCUGGGGUGGCCCGACUGGGGCUGGAGGAUCCACCGUGGCCUCGCUCACGCGUCCCGGAGCGUGGUGCUGGCGGUCGGCGGGGUGCCUCAGGUUCCCUCCACACGGCCCCCCUCUGGCAGCGCAGCCCGGACUCGUUUACGCGGCAGCUGGGUUCCAGGAACAACAGUGAAACGACGGUGAGCUCCUCGGGGAAACACCUGUGUUCUCUGCACCCCACGGGGCAGGCGCAGCACGGCACAGCGGCUCAGUCACAUGUUCUCCGGACUGUGGAUGGGGCAGCAAGAGGAAGAGAAAAGAGGGCUGCCCCGAGGUCCUGAGUUAGACAAGCCUCAGAAGACAAACGUCCUCCAGGGAGAAAAGACAGCUGUUCUGGAAAAUGGGCCUGGCCUACAGACUGUGUCCAGCCACAGUGGGGAGAGGCUGGCAGUCACAUUCAUCCGUCACGGGCAUCUCUAGUUGGCUCUUAGCAAGCCCAGGGGAAAAGGCAUUUCUCUCUCUCCUAGUUUCUGCCUGUCCAUUCAGAGAACUUGGAGUGACCUUGCUUGGGUGUUCACACACGAUUGAUCCCUGGGGCCCCGGAAUUCUGAUAGGCUGAGCCCCGUCAGAUGACCGCCCUGGUUUGGGGUGGGUGGACAGCGUGCCCCUCCUCAGAUGCAAGGCUGAGCCAGGCGAGGGGAGCCCAGGGGACACCCCACAGAAGCACCCUGCCUCAGGACAGCAUCCAGAUCUCUACUCCCUCCUGGGCUUUUCCACACUGGCAGAGUCCUCCGCGUUUCUGUCUGUCUUCCUCCCACCCAGAACAACGCUGCCACCCCGCAAUGCGAGAGAAUUGCCCAUCAUUUCCUGAGCUCUCACUAUGAGCCACACCUCUCUGGCCAGCUUCAUGAAGAUUAUUGUCCUCGUGUUCCAGGUUAGCUAACUGAGGCUCAGAGAACUCAAGCGGCUUGUCCAAAGUGUUGGUGUAUGGCAAAUCGGGGAUUUGAAAUCCGGUCCUGACUCGUGUGGACCCCCGGGGACUUUGCGUGAGUCCCCGCAGGGCAACCUGGAAAAGUCAGAGCUCAUGCCUCGGAAAGCAGCCCAAACCAAAGGAGGCUGGGGGCUCUGGAACUAGAACACCAAGCUCCUAUUUCUGACUUCCGUGAUUCACGCUGCCUUCUACAAACACAGGGCUGAAAGGGAACUUGCAGACUAUCUUAUUGAACUACCUCCGUUCGUAUUUAAUUUUAUUUCAUGGGCCCCGAGGGCUGAGGUUUUAAGUUCCGUCCAUGCUUCUCCAGUGAACAUCUGGUCUGUUGCUUUUAAGUGCUCCUAACAGUGCCUCCUCCCUGGUUUCCUGGCCCCCGCUGCAGCGAUGGACUUUCAGAUCACAGCUCGCUCCACAAGCGAGCGCCCACGGUCAUGGCUCUGUUUUUAAAAGUGAGGAAAAAAUAAAGGGACGAGAAGUGGG